rnacentral:rRNA from 1 species
AACGAACGCUGGCGGCAUGCCUAACACAUGCAAGUCGAACGAGACCUUCGGGUCUAGUGGCGCACGGGUGCGUAACGCGUGGGAACCUGCCCUUAGGUUCGGAAUAACUCCCCGAAAGGGGUGCUAAUACCGGAUAAUGUCUUCGGACCAAAGAUUUAUCGCCUUUGGAUGGGCCCGCGUUUGAUUAGGUAGUUGGUAGGGUAAAAGCCUACCAAGGCGACAAUACAUAGCUGGUCUGAGAGGAUGAUCAGCCACACUGGGACUGAGACACGGCCCAGACUCCUACGGGAGGCAGCAGUGGGGAAUAUUGGACAAUGGGCGAAAGCCUGAUCCAGCAAUGCCGCGUGAGUGAUGAAGGCCUUAGGGUUGUAAAGCUCUUUUACCCGGGAUGAUAAUGACAGUACCGGGAGAAUAAGCUCCGGCUAACUCCGUG